AAGACAUUCAUCAUGCAGUGAAUGAAGCUGGGCAUCCGGACCCUGAAUUUCCCAUCGGGAGUCCCACACAGUCCGCCAAGUAUACAAGGAUGCAAUGGCAGACGAGGGAAAUGAAUGAGCGUCUACUUCAGCCAGUGUGGCAGUCAGCCCAGCUGUCUCAGUCCCAGCGAAUAAGGCAACCAGACGCACAAACUUCACAGUAUGCUGUGCGUAUCCCAAGCAGAAAUCAACAAGAUGAGCGGCCCCUCCCCCGUACUGCUGCAGUGUAUAUCCUGCACAUGGUAGGAACAUUUUCCUGUAUGUUAGAAGUGCAUUGCAGAUCAUAAUUCAUUCUGUAGUCAGCAUCAUAAAAAAGAAAAAAAAAAGGAUCGCGUACUAUAC